AGUUUGAUCCUGGCUCAGGGCGAACGCUGGCGGCGUGCCUUAGACAUGCAAGUCGUGCGGGGGUGUCUCCUUCGGGGGGCACCUUGAGCGGCGAACGGCGGAGUAACACGUGGGUAACCUGCCCCGAAGACUGGGAUAACCCCGGGAAACUCGGGCUAAUACCGGAUGGGGAGGGCGCGGCUUCGGCGGCGUCCUCUAAAGGCGCAAGUCGCUUCGGGAUGGGCCCGCGGCCUAUCAGGUUGUUGGUGAGGUAACGGCUCACCAAGCCUGCGACGGGUAGCCGGUCUGAGAGGAUGGCCGGCCCGAGGGGCACUGAGACACGGGCCCCACUCCUACGGGAGGCAGCAGUCGGGAAUCUUGGGCAAUGGGCGCAAGCCUGACCCAGCGACGCCGCGUGGAGGACGAAGCCCUUCGGGGUGUAAACUCCUUUUGGUGAGGACGAACACAGACGGUACUCACCGAAUAAGCCCCGGCUAACUACGUGCCAGCAGCCGCGGUAAUACGUAGGGGGCGAGCGUUGCCCGGAUUUACUGGGCGUAAAGCGCACGUAGGCGGCACCGCAAGUCUGGUGUGAAAUCUCACGGCUCAACCGGGAGGCUGCACCAGAUACUGCGGCGCCCGAGGGCAGGAGAGGGGAUUGGAAUUCCCGGUGUAGCGGUGAAAUGCAUUGAGAUCGGGAGGAACACCAGUGGCGAANGCGGAUCCCUGGCCUGCUACUGACGCUGAGGUGCGAAAGCUGGGGGAGCGAAAGGGAUUAGAUACCCCUGUAGUCCCAGCCCUAAACGAUGGGUGCUAGGUGUCGGGGGGAUUUACCCCUCGGUGCCGCAGCCAACGCAUUAAGCACCCCGCCUGGGGGAGUACGGCGCAAGGCUGAAACUCAAAGGAAUG
rnacentral:rRNA from 1 species